CCCAAAUGCCAAAAGGGCGUAUUACAGCAGCCGGAUAGUUUUUUAUGCCAAAAGGGCGUAUAAAAAAUUUUUUUUUCGCCAUUCAACUUAGAACUGCUCAAAACGUAAAGAUUUGUCAAAAAAAAUUUUUCAAUGUACUAAUGCCAAAAGGGCGUAUAAAAAAACUUUCAAUUUUGCUCUGAAAUAUAAAAUUUAACUC